ensembl:lncRNA
UUCUUUCUUUCUUUCUUUCUCUCUUUCUCUCUUUCUCUCUUUCUCUCUUCCUUUCUUCCUUUCUUUCUUUCUUUCUUUCUUUCUUUCUUUCUUUCUUUCUUUCUUUCUUUCUUUCUUUCUUUCUUUCUUUCUUUCUUUCUCUCUUUCCUUCCUUCUUUCUUUCUUGCUUGCUUUCUUUCUUGCUUUCUUUCUUUCUCUCUUUCUUUCUUUCUUUCUCCCUUUCUUGCUUUCUUUCUUUCUUGCUUUCUUUCUUUCUUGCUUUCUUUCUCUCUUUCCUUCUUUCUUUCUUUCUUUCUCUUUCUUUCUUUCUCUCUUUCUUUCUUUCUCCCUUUCUUUCUUUCUUUCUUUCUUUCUUUCUUUCUUUCUUUCUUUCUUUCUUUCUUUCUUUCUUUCUUUCUUUCUUUCUCUCUUUCUCUCUUUCUCUCUUUCUCUCUUUCUCCCUUUCUCCCUUUCUCCCUUUCUCCCUUUCUCCCUUUCUUUCUCCCUUUCUUUCUCCCUUUCUUUCUCUCUUUCUUUCUCUCUUUCUUUCUUUCUUUCUUUCUUUCUUGCUUUCUUUCUUGCUUUCUUUCUUGCUUUCUUUCUUGCUUUCUUUCUCUCUUUCUCCCUUUCUCCCUUUCUCCCUUUCUCCCUUUCUCCCUUUCUUUCUUUCUUUCUUUCUUUCUUCCUUUCUUCCUUUCUUUCUUUCUUUCUUUCUUCCUUUCUUCCUUUCUUCCUUUCUUCCUUUCUUCCUUUCUUUCUUCCUUUCUUUCUUCCUUUCUUUCUUCCUUGCUUCCUUGCUUCCUUGCUUCCUUGCUUCCUUGCUUCCUUGCUUUCUUGCUUUCUUGCUUUCUUGCUUGCUUUCUUUCUUGCUUUCUUUCUUGCUUUCUUUCUUGCUUUCUUGCUUUCUUGCUUUCUUUCUCGCUUUCUUUCUUUCUUUCUUUCUUGCUUGCUUUCUUGCUUUCUUGCUUUCUUGCUUUCUUGCUUUCUUGCUUUCUCGCUUUCUCUCUUUCUUUCUCUUUCUUUCUUUCUUUCUUUCUUUCUUUCUUUCUUUCUUUCUUUUUCUUUCUUUCUUUCUUCCUUUCUUUCUUCCUUUCUUGCUUCCUUGCUUCCUUGCUUCCUUGCUUCCUUGCUUCCUUGCUUCCUUUCUUCCUUGCUUCCUUGCUUCCUUGCUUUCUUGCUUUCUUGCUUUCUUGCUUUCUUUCUUGCUUUCUUGCUUUCUUGCUUUCUUUCUCGCUUUCUUUCUUUCUUUCUUUCUUUCUUGCUUUCUUGCUUUCUUGCUUUCUCGCUUUCUCUCUUUCUUUCUCUCUUUCUUUCUUUCUUUCUUGCUUUCUUGCUUUCUUGCUUUCUUGCUUUCUCUCUUUCUUUCUCUCUUGCUUUCUUUCUUGCUUUCUUUCUUUCUUUCUUUCUUUCUUUCUUUCUUUCUUUCUUUCUUUCUUUCUUUCUCCCUUUCUUUCUUUCUCCCUUUCUUUCUUUCUCCCUUUCUUGCUUUCUUGCUUUCUUGCUUUCUUGCUUUCUUGCUUUCUUGCUUUCUCUCUUUUUUUCUCUCUUUCUUUCUUGCUUUCUUUCUUUCUUGCUUUCUUGCUUUCUUGCUUUCUUUCAUUCUUUCUUUCUUGCUUUCUUUCUUUCUCUCUUUCUUUCUUUCUUUCUUUCUUUCUUUCUUGCUUUCUCUCUUUCUUUCUCCCUUUCUUUCUUUCUUUCUCUUUCUUUCUUUCUUUCUUUCUUUCUCUUUCUUUCUUUCUUUCUUUCUUUCUUGCUUUCUUGCUUUCUUGCUUUCUUGCUUUCUUUCUUUCUUGCUUUCUUUCUUUCUUUCUUUCUUUCUUUCUUUCUUUCUUUCUCCCUUUCUUUCUUUCUUUCUGUCUUGCUUUCUUGCUUUCUUGCUUUCUUGCUUUCUUGCUUUCUUGCUUUCUCUUUCUUUCUCUCUUUCUUUCUUUCUUUCUUUCUUUCUUUCUUUCUUUCUUUCUUUCUUUCUGUCUUGCUUUCUUUCUUGCUUUCUUUCUUGCUUUCUUUCUUGCUUUCUUUCUUGCUUUCUUGCUUUCUUUCUUGCUUUCUUUCUUGCUUUCUUUCUUUCUCCCUUUCUUUCUUGCUUUCUUUCUUUCUCCCUUUCUUUCUUUCUUUCUCCCUUUCUCCCUUUUUUCAAAAGAUAGGAUAAACUGACUUUUUAUAUACUUUCCAUAUGAAUAAACUACGCAAAAUAUGUCUUUAGAAAAAAGAC